GUGCUCGCUUUGGCAGCACAUACACUAAAAUUGGAACGAUACAGAGAAGAUUAGCAUGGCCCCUGUGCAAGGAUGACACACAAAUUCGAGAAGCAUUCCAUAUUUUU
ensembl:snRNA LOC120095500 U6 spliceosomal RNA